UAACGACUCUCGGCAACGGAUAUCUCGGCUCUUCGCAUCGAUGAAGAACGUAGCGAAAUGCGAUACUUGGUGUGAAUUGCAGAAUCCCGUGAACCAUCGAGUCUUUGAACGCAAGUUGCGCCCGAAGCCUUUAGGCCGAGGGCACGUCUGCCUGGGCGUCACGCA
rnacentral:rRNA from 1 species